rnacentral:rRNA from 1 species
UACGGGGGGGGCAAGCGUUGUUCGGAAUUACUGGGCGUAAAGGGCUGGUAGGCGGCCAACUAAGUCGGAUGUGAAAUCCCCAGGCUUAACCUGGGAACUGCAUCCGAUACUGGUCGGCUUGAAUCCGGGAGAGGGAUGCGGAAUUCCAGGUGUAGCGGUGAAAUGCGUAGAUAUCUGGAGGAACACCGGUGGCGAAGGCGGCAUCCUGGACCGGUAUUGACGCUGAGGCGCGAAAGCCAGGGGAGCAAACGGGG